GUUAUUUGUGAUGGAAUUCACGCGUGAUCGUGUGAUUUCUGUAUAUUUGGCUGGAAAACCACAAGUGGAUAUCGUUAGAGCACUUCAGCACUUAAAUGUGAAUACAUCUUUUGUGUCUCGUACCAUCGCUCGUUACCGUGAUACUGGUACUUGAGAGUUGCUUCGCUUGACCGAAAGUGGUGAACUGCCGAAUUUGGUUUCCUCCGAUGAGAAAACAUUCGUUGUCCAGCAGUUUGUAAAUAAACAAAA